CUUGGUCAUUUAGAGGAAGUAAAAGUCGUAACAAGGUUUCCGUAGGUGAACAUUAUUAUUGCAGGUUCGCCAAAACAGAAAGUCUCUCAGCAGGCAACAUCUCUACUGUGCUGGAAUUUACCGUGGGUAAUACCAGCAGCCUAAGAAUAGGCUCACAGAUCAAAUGGAGGUGGCCCCUUUGGGGUUGAGAGUUGAUCGGGGGGUUGCUAUCAGUAGCAGCUAUACUUCCGCUGCGGAAGGAUCAUUACCGAGAUAAUAUGCUCUCUUCAGAGUAUGUCUCCCACCCUUUGUUUACAAUACUUUAGUUGCUUUGGCAGGCCUGUCUUUGGGCUACCGGCUAUGCUGGUCAGUGCCUGCCAGAGGACCCCAAACUCGCUGUAAUUUGCUGUCUGAGUACUAUAAAUUUAAGUUAAAACUUUCAACAACGGAUCUCUUGGUUCUGGCAUCGAUGAAGAACGCAGCGAAAUGCGAUAAGUAAUGUGAAUUGCAGAAUUCAGUGAAUCAUCGAAUCUUUGAACGCACAUUGCACCUUCUGGUAUUCCAGGAGGUAUGUCUGUUCGAGCGUCAUUACAACCCUCAAGCUCUAGCUUGGUAUUGGAUGUCACUAAUCUGGUGCAUCUCAAAAGCAGUGGCGGUGCCAUUCAGCUUCAAGCGCAGUAAAUCUCUCGCUGUGGAGCCUGGGUGCAGUGUCUGCCAGAACCCCUAAAUUCAAAGGUUGACCUCGGAUCAGAUAGGGAUACCCGCUGAACUUAAGCAUAUCAAUAAGCGGAGGA
rnacentral:rRNA from 1 species